AUUUUGCAACGAAAUUUUGGUUCGGUAUUAUUGUUAAUAUCGAUUAAAAGGGAAUCCAGUGAAAAGAUAGGUGAUUGCAGAUUUUAUCUAAUGUCACGAAUAGUUAAUCUUCAGUCUGGAACUGUACCCGCAACUGUAAGCAUAUUGCCCAAUUUAAUAGGGUGUCUCUUUAAAAAGAGUUGCUGUCUACUUCAAUAAAACCACUGGUGAAAACUGGGAAGGUAAAACAGCAAAAUGCAAGUCAGGAGACCUACCAAAGUUCAAAACUAAAA
rnacentral:ncRNA from 1 species